UACGUAGGGUGCAAGCGUUGUCCGGAAUUAUUGGGCGUAAAGAGCUCGUAGGCGGUCUGUCGCGUCGGGUGUGAAAAUCCAGGGCUUAACCCUGGACCUGCAUUCGAUACGGGCAGACUAGAGUUCGGUAGGGGAGACUGGAAUUCCUGGUGUAGCGGUGAAAUGCGCAGAUAUCAGGAGGAACACCGGUGGCGAAGGCGGUUCUCUGGGCAUUACCUGACGCUGAGGAGCGAAAGCAUGGGGAGCAAACAGG
rnacentral:rRNA from 1 species